GUAUGGGUUAUAGCAAUAAUAUGUUUGACCAAUGCUAUUGUUUUCUCUUACUUGUUACUUGAGUCUUGAUUGAGCUCAAGAGAUGCCAUUUGAAUACCAGUAGGGAAAACUGCAUAAAAUUUAGCCAUUGAACUUGUGAGCUUCAUCCAUUACUGGGUCAUGCUGACAUUAUUGAGGUAUAGCUUUCAUAUUUUAUAAGUAGAGAGUUUGCUAAGCUUUAAAAGUAGGGUGCCUGUGUGUGUCCAUUAUCAUUACCAAGAAUACUACCUUUUUUUGUAAUCUGUAGUUAGUUCCCUCUAAUCUUGGUGCCAGUUAGGUAAUGACUAAUGUUUUAUUUCUGUUUUGCCUUUUAAAGAAUUUUAUAUAAAGGUAAUUAUGUGUGUUGUUUGUGUUGAGGUUUCACGGUUAAAUGAUUUUUGUGUGGGGUUUUUGGUUUGUUUUGUUUUUUCUUCAGAUUUAUCCCUAAUGUAGUGUCAGUAGCUGGCUGUUUUUACUGCUGAAUAAUAUUUUACUAUGUGGAUUUGCUACAUUUUCUCCAUUAUUUCACUUGCUGAUAUAAUUUUUUGGGUUGGACCAGACCAGAUUGUUCUGUUAAGAAUAGAAAUAUAAAACUUGAGCGAUAACUCAGCCAGCAAAGUCACUACAUUGCCUCAGUUUGAUCACCUUAAACACCACCAUGUAUCGUCACACACACACACACACACACAAUACAAGACUUGGGAAGAUGAGCCAUACGUGUGUGAGAGACUCUGACUUUUACAUAGAUACUCACAUGUAUAUAGACCUACACAUGUGCACACAAACACAUGGAACUCGGUUUAACUUUUUAAGAAACUGUCCAAUCUGUUCUCUAAAGCAAGAGCUCUAAAUGCUGCAUAUCUUUUCAGUCUAAAUGAUUUUGGCCAGUUUUGUAGAUCUUCAUAUAUAUGUAUAUAUGUACACACACACAAACACACUCUAUACUGCAGAUACAGUUGUUUUGUCACAUCCCUUUUAAUUGUAACAAAACACCAUGACCAAGGCAACAUUUAAUUGGACUUAUGGUUUCAGUCUAUGAUAGCAGACAAAAGAAAGACAUGGUGACAGUGACCAUUUGAAAACUCAAAACCCACCACUAGUGAAACCUCUCCUCCAAGAAGGGUUUUUUAAAUUACUACAUUUUUAUUUAUUCUUUAUGCACAUGGAUAUGUGUGUGUGUGUUUGUGUGUGUGUGUGUGUGUGUGUACAUAUUAGGACGUGUGUAUAAAAAAGAACAACUUUUCUCUUCUACUAUGCAGGCCCUGAGGCUCAAGGGUGAAAUUUAGUGGCAAACAUUUUUACUGCCCAGUCAUUUCUAAGCCCGGAUACAUUAACUUGAAGUAGUCUUUUCCUGUGUGUGUAAGUGCCGCUUGGUGUUGAAAUGAGUAUCAUCUUAGUUUUUGUAAGCAAGGUCUUACGUGUUUUUAAAAGGCUUUAAAAUUGCCUUCAUAUGGGCUCAGGGGUUAACAGCACUGCUCUUCCAGAGAGAGGUCUUGAGUUUAAUUCCCCACAAGCACAUGGUGGCUCACAGCCAUCCGUACUGAGAUCAGAUACCCUUUUCUGGUGUAUCUGAAGAGAGUGACAGUAUACUCAUGUACAUAAAUUAAGUAAAUUUAAAAGAAUUGCCUUCAUAUUUAUCAAAAGUAAUUUUUUAGCUAUCACAGG
rnacentral:lncRNA from 1 species